AACGUCUUUAUGCUAAUUAACGGUCAAUUACUGUGAGACCGGCAGUUACUUGCUUGACGAUCACCGGCUGUCAAAAUUUCAUGACCGCCACAGCCCUAGUUGCACCCCAUCCUUUUGCCAUCAGAACAGCCUCAAUUCUACGGGGCAUGGACUCUACAAGGUGUCGAAAGCAUUUCACAGGGAUGCUGGCCCAUGUUGACUCCAAUGCUUCCCCCAGUUGUCAAGUUGGCUGGAUGUCCUUUCGGCGGUGGACCAUUUUUUAUACACACGGGAAACUGUUGAGCGUGUGAACCCAGCAGCGUUGCAGUUCUUGACACAAACCGGUGCGCCUGGCACCUACUACCAUACCCUGUUCAAAGACACUUAAAUCUUUUGUCUUGCCCCUUCACCCUCUGAAUGGCACACAUACACAAUCCAUGUCUCAAUUGUCUCAAGGCUUAAAAUCCUUCUUUAACCUCUCGCCUCCCCUUCAUCUACACUGUGUGAAAUGGCUUUAAGCUUAACAAGUGACAUCAAUAAGGGAUCAUAGCUUUCACCUGGAUUGACCUGGUUAGUCAUAUCAUGGAAAGAACAGGUGUUCUCAAUGUUUUGUAUACUCAGUGUACAUUUGAUGAUUUGGGUUUGAGUUUUUUUGAAUGAAAACUUUAACAGCAUUGCUUUGACAGAUAUAGAUACAGUUCAAAUUGUAAAUUGUUUAACAAUUUAUAUAAAUAGAUUCAUAAUUCCUUUAAAACAGCACACUUUCAUAACCAAAUAGCCCAUUUAAAAAUAAAUGUAUAAUUGGACAGCAGAUGAGCAUUUUAAACUAUUGUAAUGUAAUAACAUAAAAUGAUCAAAACAACUAUAUGGUAAAUAUUUAAUAUACCCAUUGUAAAAAACAAAAGUUUGUGAUGCUGAGUUAUUCACAUUAUGUUGCUGUAAACCAAAUGCUGACUUCUCUUUUUCAGGUUUAUAACAUGAAAGAUGUGCCGGGUAUGUGUUUAAAUUUGUCACACAGCAAUCCCAUUUGUGUGUACCGGUAUGUCACAAAUGUUAUAACUGCUUUGACUCACUAUUGAUGUGGUCACUGAUUGGUCUAUUUUCUUUCUAGAUGCAGAGCCCCUCCCACAUAUACCUGUGGUGGAGAUGUUUUCAGAAUAUGAGGAAGAGGAUCAGAUACCACAGUUCCCCCCCAAUUCUCUCACCAUCUCCGGAGUCCCUCAAAGGAGAUGAGGACUCACAGAACUCAAAUGUCGUGGGCUGGUUCGUGACGGGCCUCGGCCUCAAGAUGCCACAGCCUGUCACGAGAUCCAGAGAUGAUGUUGAAGUUAUGCCGAAUGGGGGGGUGGGAGUGCUGAGAUCCCCUUAAACAAAAGGAGAAAGAAGACUGAGGAACCGUGAGAGAGACUGAGACUGAGAGCAAAGAGAUAGAGGCAGAAAAACAGACUUACCGACAUAGAUGAUUGUCGACAUUUAUACAGCUCCACUGAGCAACCUGGCAGCUGUGAGACAUCGCUUAAAAAAUAUGUUUAAUUUACCUUACUCUUUAUGGAAUGCAGAUAUUUUUGUUUGAUUUUAAUUGUGUAUAGUCAAUGUAUUAAAAUGAACUGUUUGUCAGUUAAUGUCAGUUGUUCAACUCUUGUCGAUAUGUAGCAAGAAAUGGGUCUUGUCUUCAUUGUAGUAAUCUUUGAAGUAAUUUGGAUGCAUUAAGAGAUCAAGUAUAUUAGAAAAUACAUACAGACACAUAGAGCUAUGAGGCAACAUUGUGACUCAUAGUUUUUGUACAUGAAAUAUACCAUAUUAAACUACUUUUUUGAAGGUAAAGAUUAUUGCUGCCCUAAAAAGCUAACACAAAAACCACUUAAUCAUAUUGUACAUGUUUUCCCUCGUGACCUAUUCUUAUCGCCUUGAACUACGAAUGUGGCCUAAAGUUGUAAUUAUGUUUAUUUUGAUCUGAUAGAUUUUUUUUGGUAUGAAAUCCACAAAAGAGGAUUUGACAAACCGAGUCAAGGGAGUCAAGUUAUUACAAAUAAGUUCAUAAAUUAUGACAUCAUGCCUAAAAAGUAUCCCUGACAGUAUAAUAACGUGUUGUGUAAUAUUAUAAAAAUAAUAUAAAGAUGGCCUCCCGGGUGGCGCAGUGGUCUAGGGCACUGCAUAACAGUGCCAGCUGUGCCACCAGAGACUCGGCUUUCGACCUUCGUCUCUCCUGAGCCCGUACGGGAGUUGUAGCAAUGAGACAAGAUAGUAACUACUAACAAUUGGAUACCACAAAAAAUUGGGGAGAAAAGGGG
ensembl:lncRNA